AAGAAAAUAGAAUUAACAUUUAAAUUUUAAACUGUACAACAGUAAAAGUUGAAUACAACUGUACAGAAUAGACCGAGCAGUCUUGAAGGCAGAUCAUUAUCCUAACGGUCAACAUCAAAAAGGGAUUCCUAUACCGAACGGUUUUACAAAACAUAAUCCGGACGGCGAACUAACUAGGUAAUGAAAAAUAACUAUACUAAGGACCUGACGGCCCUGCAUAACUUUCAGGCACGGCCUCCACGGGGAGCUCGGUCUGCACGGCAUCCUCCAGAGUGUCUUCCAGGGUAGUUUCCAAGGUAUCCUCUGCUCACAUCCAAAAGGAUGAUCAUGGCCAUGAAGAGAAUAACCGAACGACAACAUAGACAAAGACACAACAGAUAAGGGUAAGCUUAUGUAAAUUUAAUUAAUUAAUCAAUUUCAUCAUACACGAGAACAUACAGACUCAAACCAAUCAACCAUACAUACAUACAAUUUCUAUACAUGCAUACUACAUUCCUUUAAUCAUGACCGACCACUAAGACACUGUUCGGACGGUAUGAACCUGUAGCUCGGUCGUCCCUAGCACCCGGUGUGGUGUAGUAACUGCCUUUCCUUAUCAGCUGCCACCCGAGGUUAGUCCUCAAACGGUUAUCUAUUCAUAUAACCGCGGACCUCCUGCCAUUCUCACACAUGAGUGACCUUUCUCUACCUGAGAAAGCGCCCUCACAGAAUAUCAGGAUCAGGACAACACCAGAGUCAUUCCCAAGUUCAUACUUUACCAAUCAUCACCAAAUUUAUGAGAUAUUCCUCCAGUGGAAUUCCCUUACUUAGCCAAAUUCAAUCAAGAUUCAUUAUCACUUCCAAGCUGUAAGGAUGUUUAAGAAACGGACCGGAUGAAUCAAAGACAAAAUAAGAGUUUAAGUAAGACAAGAAGGUUUGACCAGAUGGUCAGGCGAAAGAGAACCGGACCUCAAGAAUGAAGUAUAAAUAGUUGGCCGGAUGGUCCAACAAAGAAUAAGAUCGUACUUCAAGAGAUGGACUAUAAGUGAUAGUCAUCCGAACGGUUUGGCAAAGAGUGUUAUAAAAUAAGCAAUAAUCAUGGUCGAAGGUUGGUCUAUGACCAAACACUUAUCAGACCGAACGAAUUAAGAAAGAAGAAACUCUUUAAAGGGGAAAAAGGACUUUAAUCAAGUAAACCGGACGUUUCAAUAAAUAGAGGCUCACUAGACCAUUCAGUCAUUAAGUGACCGAGUGGUUUCAAAAGAAGAAUAUCAGGUUUGUAAGUUUAUUUUUUUAAGUAUUCGCCUAAUGCCGAACACUUAUAAGACCGAAUGCUUGGUUUAUGACCAGCGUUCUUAAAUGGCUAUCAAUAAAACAAUUAAAGGAAACCAAUUGAGCUUAGUAACCACACUAGGCCGAACGGAAAAAGGGGGACCGAACGGUUCUAAUGAUCUUCGAUCUCAGAUUCAUAUUUUCUCUAAGUUUUAUACCUAUUCAUAUCAGUGCAGAAUUUACAGUUCAUACUUACCAUACAACUCAUACCACAACAUACCAUUUUUCAAUCAUAAGGAAUCAAGCAACAUACUUUAGAUAUCAAACAUACAUUAAAUCAGGCAUACAUUCAAACCAUAUAGGGAAAUUAUAAUUAAACUUUAUAAGCUUCCCUUACCUCUAAUUCCAGCUAAGACUUCGAAAGUAGGUUGGUAGCAACUAUUUCUUCUAAGUUUCCCAAGGUCUAGAAUCAAAUACCAAAGUAGGUUCAGAGGAAUGGUUUCACAAGUACAUGUAAGCUUUUAAAGGCGCAUGCAUGCAAGAAAACAAAGAGGUUUCAAAGGUCAGAACACUUACCAGGUAUAACCCGAAACCGAACGGUUCUAAUGGAAGAGGAGACCACCAGAAGUCUUCAGGUGUGAUCUGAAUGGUGAUCNGAACAGUAGAUUGGUUAGNANUUUAGAGAGAAGGUUGGAAGAUUUUAGAGAGAAGGAGGAGAAUUUGAGUUUCCAGAAAGUUUGAGUUUGAGGAAGAAGAAGAAGAUUGCAUGGGAAAAGUGUCGUCAGACUUCUCAUUUUACCUUAAGUACUGCCUCCAUUCGGAACGUUCGGUCCACUCCCAGCCUGCCACCUGACUUCCACUUUCUGGACCUCACUGCUCUGCUGCUACACGGAUCAUGAAGGAAGGGAAUUAAAACUUGGCAGAGUUGGUCUCCCACUUAACCAGGUAAGACCGGACGGUUUGACAAGUGUACCCCACUAAGGAGGGUAUUAAAUGGGGUGUGACAUCAUCAUGCAUAAUAAUUGAAAGCAGUUAGAGCAGUAAUUAAGGUACUUAGUUUAUAGUCAUCCAAAAUGGUUCAAGGAUUUGAAACUCUAAGUACUAUAGAGUAGUAGAGUUUAGGAUUACAGUCAUCCAUGAAACAAUACUAGAAUUUGAAAUUUUUAAACAGAACAAAGUUCUUCAAAAUAACUUAGAGCAAAUGAAAGUUCCUAAGAAGACUAGGCGACAACGUUGUCAUUCUUAUCCAAAGUUGUCUCCAAGGUAACCUCCUCGCCAUCUGCUCCCAUCCAAGUGGAUGAUCAUCGCAAAAGAAAACAGACGCAAACAUGGCACAAACACAAGCAAUUGCAAGGGCGAACUAAUUAUAUAAAAAGCGUGCAAAUUUUAUUAACAUAUACAUAUCAAAUUCAACUCAAGUAAAGUACAUACAAGUAAAACAAUAUAUGACACAGAUCUAUACAUGUUAUAUUCUAAACUUGACUCGUCCAGACUUUAGAAUGACAGUCGAGCUAUGGCGGGCCAUGCACCCGUGGUGGCUUGUGAUACUUGGGCUCCCCUGCCCUGCCAUACUCACGAGGUUAGUCUGUUUCGCGCACUGGAAGAUGAUGGAAGCCUCCAGGACUAAGACCUAUUGCUACUCCUUACCACAUGGUUCAACCCUCUCUACGUGAGAAGAAAGACCAUUGGAGCGUCAGGAAGACCCCCGAGACUGAGUUCCUACUUUUAUUCUAAACACUAAGAAUCUCACCGAGAGACUUUACAUUUAAACCACCACCAACAACCUUGAAAUCACUUUCAUUCUUUCUCAAGUCACAUAUCUUUGAACCAUAAUCAAAUUACACAUUUGAGCUUUAAAGAUCAAGUCAUAUAAUUUUACUAAACGCAAACAAGUAACACAAAUUCUAAACUAGUUGCGGGAUCCACUAGAUCUAAUUAUUUAAAUUUUGUUUUCAAAACACUCUAGUAAAUGACUAAAUUUUUUCAACACCAAGGAAAACUCAUUUUUCCAAUACACCCCUACUUCAUAUUAAACACAUCCCCUUCUAUAUAUAUCUUUUUAAGUGAAUCCCAAUAUCAUUAAAUUCCCAUAUCUCUUACUUCCAAGGUGGACCCCAUCAUUUCCCACUUAACUCUCAUUUUCUCUCUCUAUCUCUUUUCUUUUUCUUUCACGUAUAACACCUUCUCACCAUUUUCUUUCUCAUUUAUUUAUUUUUUCAUUCUACCCAAAACUACACAUCAUUCUACUUCUCUCACUCAUUUCACGUCAUACACUCACUCUUUCUUUUCUUUUUCACUAAAUCCAAAACUUACAUUCACAUUCUCUCUCCAUCAUUUAUGACCUUCACGCAUCUGCCCCAUCAUCUUUCUUUUAUUUUUAUUUUUUUAUUUUUUUAUUUUUUCCCCUUAACUUACUAUUUCUUCUUCAACUAAUACCUAUUACAACCCAUUCCAUCUCCUCUUAACAUACGUACCAACACACUCCCUCCCUUUCCUUUCAUUUAUUCCUUAAAUAUCUUUUCUAUCUUCCAAAACUUUCUCUCUCCACUGCAAGUUUCCUUUAUCAACACUAAGACUUCCACCUCAUCAUUCACCUUUCACACCACAUUACUGCAGCCACUCCUAAUUUUCUUCAACACCAAUCUUAGCUACAUUUUCUUUUCACUAAACUUUUUAUUUAUUCCUCUCUACAAUUAUACUCAACUCAUUCACCUAAACCUUUUCCAUUUACUAGUAACCACCAACACCACCAAACCAAAGCCCUUUAAUUUUAUUUUUCUCUUCCAAACGUCACAAAGUCUCUACUGUCAAUUUUUUUUUUUAUCAAUGAUCACCCUCCUAUUAUAAACCACAUUCUAGCUCACUUUUUCGUAGCACACAACAAAGAACCCAUACACAUUUUCUCUUUCCUUUUCUUUAAGAUUUACGUGCUGCACACAAGUAAAUUACUACCAAAAAUAAACUAAAAUUAGAAACCAAUCUAACUUCUACCCUUCUUCUCUCUCUCGGAUCGCACCUAGAAUUAAACUCUAUUCUCUUUAAAUCUCAACCAUUCUAUUAAGUUCCCAAGCAAACUGUUACACCUCUUUUUGCUAUCAAUCACACACAUAUAUAUUAUCUCACAUCACCCAACAAUUUCUUUCUGCAUGCUAAUAUCAGUUCAAUUUAUAAGCAAUCUACCAUAGUUUCAUACAUUUCACAAUGUCCAAAACUAAAGAAGCAGUCAACAUGGAACAUCAACUUAAAAUUUAACAUGCUACACAUUCUAAAACAGAUUCAAGCAAAUAAUCAGUUCCCCUUACCUUUUGGUUCUCACAGCACAGUUCCUAGAAAACGUCCUAACAGUACCUCCACACAGAGGUAAUUUUGACAGUUCUUAUAAGCCACCAAAUUGGUGUAGAGCACAGUCUUUAGAGCUUGAUAGGAUAAGGAAAAUAAAAAGAGCUCUACUUGCAAGGUAGAACCUUUGCAUGAGUAAAACCCUAGGGUGCGGAGAAUGGAAAAUUUACCUUAUUAGUGGAGAGACGCGAAACUAAUCGGAUGGAUUGGAAGCCCUCGACUCCGGAAACAAAGCAAUGGUAGGAAUUUGAGAAAGGGUAGAGAGAAGAUGAAACAAGGUUUAGAGAGAAGGCAGAGCUUCUAAAAAACCUAACUUUUAGAGAGA
rnacentral:lncRNA from 1 species